GUGGCUUAUAAUAAUAGUUCGUUAUGUGUAAUUCUCGAGCUCUUCCAUUUAGGAAUGAUUUUGUUCUUAUAUUUCAAUGCUUGGUUUUCUUUUUACAUUUCCCCUUAAAAGAAUCCAAGUCAGAAGCUUGUAAGUCAGUGUUUGUCGUUGGUUUUGUCUGUUAUAUCUGUUUUCGUUUAUUGUUGUAAUGUUACACUACUGUUAUGACGCGGAAUUAGGGUCAUAAAUAUCGAAUUUAACAUAAUAUGGUUGUCGUUUGUUUAUGUGUUACAUAUUUGUUUUUCGUUCAUUUUUUUAUAUAAAUAUGGCCGUUAGUUUUCUCCUUUGAAUUGUUUUACAUUGUCAUAUCGGGGCCUUUAAAUAGCUGACUAUGCGGUAUGGGCUUUGCUCAUUGUUGAAGGCCGUACGGUGACCUAUAGUUGUUAAUGUAUGUGUCAUUUUGGUCUCUUGUGGACAGUUGUCUCAUUGGCAAUCAUACGACAUUGUUUUUUUAAUAUUAUAUCAUUAUAAUAUAGCAAAUGCUAAAAUGAUCUAAGCAAAUGCUAAAAUGAUUUACGCAUAUGCUAAAUUAUAAUAUAGCAUAUGCUAAAAUGAUUUAAGCAUAUGUUAAACUCGAUAUUUAUUACCCUACUAAUAAUUCCGCGUCAUAUAUUGUUGUGUCAUAACUUAGUCAGUUUGUUUUAUUUUGUCGUUUCAUAUUGCCACAUUGUGUACCAUGAAAACUUGUAUCGUUAUCUCUGGUCUUCAAAAAUAUAAGACGAUGGGGUAUCAGUGCCAAUGAAACAACUCUUCAUCCGACUCACAAUUUGCAAAAGAACAGAUGCGGACCUGAUGUCACAUAUUAUGAAACUCACAGCAUGCUUUGAGUUAUUUCGCUUCGUUCCAAUGGGGUUGCACGGCUUUGAAUAUGUACAUGCAGAUUUAGUUUUCAAAUAUUUUUUUUUAUUUUAAAAAGUGAAGAAGUGUCCACAGGAAACUCUGAAUGUAUAAAAUUCAAAUUUUUGAAGACUUAGUUAUAAAC
rnacentral:lncRNA from 1 species